GACAGAGGGUGCAAACGUUGUUCGGAAUUACUGGGCGUAAAGCGCGUGUAGGCGGCCCUGCAAGUCGGGUGUGAAAUCCCACGGCUCAACCGUGGAAGUGCACUCGAAACUGCAGGGCUAGAGUCCUGGAGAGGAAGGUGGAAUGCUUGGUGUAGAGGUGAAAUUCGUAGAUAUCAAGCGGAACACCGGUGGCGAAGGCGGCCUUCUGGACAGUGACUGACGCUGAGACGCGAAAAGCGUGGGGAGCAAACAGGG
rnacentral:rRNA from 1 species